GUGCCAGCAGCCGCGGUAAUACGUAGGUGGCAAGCGUUGUCCGGAUUUAUUGGGCGUAAAGCGAGCGCAGGCGGUUUCUUAAGUCUGAUGUGAAAGCCCCCGGCUCAACCGAGGAGGGUCAUUGGAAACUGGGAGACUUGAGUGCAGAAGAGGAGAGUGGAAUUCCAUGUGUAGCGGUGAAAUGCGUAGAUAUAUGGAGGAACACCAGUGGCGAAGGCGGCUCUCUGGUCUGUAACUGACGCUGAGGCUCGAAAGCGUGGGGAGCAAACAGGAUUAGAAACCCUCGUAGUCC
rnacentral:rRNA from 1 species